AACCUUAUGGACCUGCGGGCGUAUACCUGCGGAGGGAUCAUUACCGAGUUUACAACUCCCAAACCCCUGUGAACAUACCACUUGUUGCCUCGGCGGAUCAGCCCGCUCCCGGUAAAACGGGACGGCCCGCCAGAGGACCCCUAAACUCUGUUUCUAUAUGUAACUUCUGAGUAAAACCAUAAAUAAAUCAAAACUUUUAGCAACGGAUCU
rnacentral:misc_RNA from 1 species